AUGACCCUGAUGUCAGGAAAGGGACUAAUCUGGGCAUUACCAGUAGGGCAUUACCAAUAGGGCAAAGAAGGGGAAAUAUGCAUUCUUACCUUAAUAGAGUGCAUUCUUUAAUGGUUAAGCAGAUGUGCAAUGUAUGUUUGGUAGGCCAUAAGUCAGGCUUUUUAGUUAGAGCUGAAUCAAUUUUGAACCUGUGACCCCAAAUAGUUACCCCAUAUACCUCAAUAUGUGAAAAUCUCUUGUCAGUGUAAAGCCAUCCUUGUUCUCUGCCUUAUGGCAGUAUUGCCUGGCUGGAUCCUCCAUUUUAUUCAUUAGACUUGACUCAGACUGCAUCUGCUGCAAAGAAUACACUGAACACAUUGAGCCUAUUGGAAUGACUGUGCCCCUCAGAAGCAGUGGCAUGAAAAGGCUGGGGUGGAAGCAGGGGAUAAGGAGGCAGCUCACCCAGGGUGCAGGCAAUAAGAAGGUGUCUUGUUUAUAGAAAAUUUUAAAAUAAUAGAACCGACUAAGGUACAGUCUGUGUUUUAUUAUCACUGCAAGUGCUCAAUUCUAAACAGUGUUGGGGACAAAAUACUCCUCUCUUCCCCACUCCGCUGUCCCCCUUUGUUAUGCGGCUGCUCAGAAUGCAGUUACAAAGAGGAGUUUUCAAAACUUUUGAACAGAAGAAAUGCGAUUGGAAUGUGUUGUCCCCCCUAUGGUGAGUGUUUUGAAAGAGAUAACAUUCAUUUGGAAUAUUUAUUUAAAAGGAAAAAGAGAAACCAUUCCACUUUAUAAUUGCCCUUUGUAUAUUAAUUUGGACGUUGGCUUGUGGAUUUAUAUCUAGUUAUAUGUGCAUUGUCUAAAUCCUACUCUCUAGAUUGUAAGAUCCAUGAGGACAGGUCUGGGCCUCAUUCGCUAAGUGUCCACAGGGUCUGACCAUUACUGUACACGUAUUGCACUCCAAUAUAUGAUGGAUGACUCAAACUAGGUUAGCAGCAAAAUAAUAUUUUCCUUUUGUUGUUUGUCACUUAUAUGUAUGAAAAUCAGGGGAAGGCUCUGGCCCACGGCUUUGAAGGGUCUUCCUGGUGAUGCUGAGAAUCUCCAGGAGCCUGCUGUUUGGCCAGAGGGAUGUUCUCCAGCAGCUGGUGCUAACAAAGGUCUGAGGCUUAGACACACAGGACACAGUGCCCACACUCGCCAGCAUUAAGGAAAAUUGGGAGGGGGUGUCUCCCUCUGUGUCCAUACAACACCCUAAUUGCUCUUCAAUGAAUAUCACUGUUUCUUUGAUUUUCUUUCCUCACCCUAUUAUUUGCAUGCAAUGAAGAUUAAGAAGGAUGGGGCAAAGAGAAGAAAAAGUUUGAUUUGUCUCAGGAAGCACGCUCCUAAGUGAGAGAGCUCUUUGCAGGUAGGAUUCUAUAGGAGAAGGGAAAUGGAGCUGGAAAACAGCUUGAAUGAUGGCCAACUCCAGACUUCAGUUGUGAGAAAAUGAAUAAAUGUAACGUUUGAAAAGAUAUUGCUUGAGAUCAGCCCAUAAUAGUCAAUAAUCAUGGCCAGUUCCUGGACAUCAGGUCAUGGUGAGCUUGGACUUCAGGAAAAAAUUAACCUCCUGAAGUCUAAUUGUUUUAUGGAAAAGUUAUGAUGAUAAGGAGUGGUGGUUGGGGGGGGGCAGUUGGGGAAGCCUGGGUGUCAGAAGGAGUCUUUUUACCAUUUUGAGUGCCCACGUUAAUGUUUCCUGGGUGAUGGUCUAAGAUUGAAGGGAGCUUGUAUAGCCUCUGGCAUGUUUGGAGUCUGUCCCAUCUUCCAAGGGACCUUCCAGAUGGAGAGGGGCCUUGGGCAAAUCAUCUUGUGAACUGGAGCAGGUCUCCAGGGCUGAAUGGAUGUCAUCUGGAAGUUUAAGAUGUGACCCAAAUUCUGGGAUAAUAAGGUGGGGAGAAGUCAAACAAUCCAGGGAUUUUCAUUCUGCUUUUUCUGGAAAAAUGUAGGGCCAUUUUUUAGCUCCUGGGAUGAGAUGGUAGAGUGCAGAGAAGCUGGAAAAUAACCACAUGUCUCUACUGCAAGCUCUUUAUAUCGAGGUUUGCCAGUAAGAAUUUAGUUGACUGAUGUGCAAGUGCUUUUGCAGUUGUAGACUCGACAUAGAUCCAAAUGAAAGAGCUGCCCAAAUAUUUGACUUUGUUUUUGCUCCCUGAGAAGAACUCCUAGACUUUUUCACUAUUCUUUCUGGAAAGAACAGAGUGGGCAACUCUAACCUGAUACUGAAUUAAGCAAGUAUACCUGGCAGAAUGUCUGAGUUUUAAAAAUACUUCUGGCCGUAGGACAUGUUGUGUGUAUCUGUUUCUUGGAUUUCUGAUAAUAUGCUUGGGUAGAUAAGUGAACUUAGGAACUGUAAUUACCAUUGUUUUCCUUAUAGGAAGUGUUUGGGUAAAUUGCGACAUGAUCUCUUUUGCUCUUGUCCAUUUGUCAUCUAUUAUUCAGAGAAUAAUAAUAAUACAACACCAAGCAUGCCCUUGGGAAAGUCACCUAGCAGUUUUAAGCCUAUCAUCUAUGAAAAGUCAGGGUUGGACCCUGCUAGUACUAGGAGUCUCUGAUCUGGAUGCAGGCAGGUGAAGGUGAAGCUGCAUGUGCACCCCACCGUCAUUGUCGUUCCCUUUUCAUAGCUCACAUUUCCUUAGUGGUGAAGAAGGACUAUCUCAUGGAUGCAAGCCUUAGAAUAGUGUUUUCUCUUUCCACUCUAAAGCCAGAUUUUAGACUUUGCAGAAAACAUUCUGGAUAAAAUGGAAGAAUUAAAAAUGUUAUUGAAACAUUAUUUUUAGGUCUGCACAUUAUUUCACAAACCCAUUCCCUUUGUCUCUUCUUUGUCAAAGGAUUUAGGCAGCUUGUUUCUCUGGCUUUCAUCAAGUAUCUUUUUUCCUUCCUGUUCAAAAUAAGCUCUGUGUCCUUUUUCCUGGCUAGAUGAAAGCCUGUGUACCCUGCUCUUCCUGAUAUCAACCCAACGAUGGUGGGAGAAGGGUUCACGUCACUCUGGAUUGUCAGUUUCAAAGGAUAGUUUAAAAACAGAGGGAUGAAAAACAAGCUUCAAUUUUCCCUUUAGAUCUCUCCAAUACACACUGUCUGUGUAUUAUUUCAGAAAACCCAUUCAAAAGUAGACUGUUUCCUUCCCGGCCUCGGCACCAAAUCAAGAAGCGGCACAUAAUGUAUUGUUGUGUUUAUUAUGCAUCAUUUUGCUGCUGACAUCGGGGCCAUCAAAUAUUGGGAAAUUUACAGCCAGGGAGGUCCAACCAUCAUGCCUGGAGUGAAGGACAAAGUAUUCUGUUAUUCAUCUCCAGCUCUGGCCCUUUAUGAUCAGACAGUGAGCAAUAUACUUAUCAAAGUCAGAAUAACCUUCACUUUAGAAAACACACUUGUCCUUAAUUGCCAGAGUAAGAAUGCAUAAGCAGCUUCUCUCUGGAUAAUGGAAUGGAGGCUAAAUUGAUGUAAGUUUUGAGUAUUUUGUAAUUCGCCAAUAGUGUUGUGCUCAAUUAAGUUUUAACUCACAAAUUGUGUGUAUAUUAUACUGGAGAAGUGGAAAAAUUUUUGGAAUUUAAAACCAUUUAUACAGUCUAAACAUGUAUAUCAUACGUAGGACAUACAUAUACGUACUUAUGAUAUACAUGUUUAUGUUAUAUAUUUUUUUCUUUUGAGUCAAAGCUAAGGCCAGUAGCUCUAUUUCUAUGCCCUGGUCCAUAGCAGUUAACAGCUUGGGUGCUGGAGGCAGAAGGAUGUGAGUUUGAAUCUCUGACAUAUGCCUCCAUUCACUCCUCUGUAACAUGGAAAUAAUGACAGUAGCUACCUCACAGAGGAGUUUUAAGGGUUCAGUGAGAUUGCACAUAUGGCAGAAUACUAGUAGAGUGCCUGGAACGUUGUGAGAACUUGAGGAAUAUUUGACUAUUAUUGCUCCCCCCUUCCUAUUAUUGUUAAAAAACAGUAGUCCAUAGAAAACACAUAUUGCCAAAUCCUUUAUAUAGAAGGGGAAGGACGGAAAUAUAUUUUUAAACAUUAUUAUUUGUAUAUAUUAACUAUAAUUAUUUAAAUAACAUUUUAUAAAUAAGUAUAUAUGUCUACGUAUAUGUACAUAUAUGUAUGUAUGUAUGUUAUGGCAGUAGAUGGUCCCUAGGAGCAUACAGUUUUGAGAACUUGACUGAGAUGACUCAGAAAACACAGCAAGGCGGUGAAAAUAGCUCUUGCUUGAUAAGGCAUUUGUUUACUGUGCUUACCUCAAGUCAUACCUGCCCUCUUAGAAAGGUGUCACUGUUUAGAGUUAGUCUAAUCUAGAGAGUGACCAUGUGAGCACUUAGAGGUGGGAAUGUUUAUUUGGAAAUAAUAGGCAGAUUCUGGAAUGUUGUAGUAAUGCUUGUGCCUUUGAGUUGCAGUGUGGCCAAAUGUACAGGACAAAACACAAUUCGAAAAUGAACUCCAGCAUUAUUCUGGGAAAGACAAGGGGAAUCUAUGGAAGCUGGUCAUUCUUCCUAGCUCAGACCUGGAGGUAACAUUAAUUGACAAAUAUUCUCCGAGCAGUAAAGUCAGUAUGACAGCAUUUGCUUACUUGGGUUGUCAGAAUGCUGGUGGGUGAGUUGUUAGAUGAUGAAUUGGAGAAAUGGACUUGAGAAGAGAGGUACUGAGAAAUAAAAAUGACUGGCCGUUUUAGUUACAGAACAGUUGACCUGAGAGUUUUUUGUUAUUUUUGCUGCUUUCUCUGGUGUAACUGUAGGAUUAAGUUAAGGCAAAUUAAGUGUUAAUGGACUACAGUUUCAGACCAAUAGUCUAUUCUGAAAUCACAAGACAAGUACUAGAGGACUCUAUUUGAAAUGAAAAUUUACAGUUUGAAUUAUCUCUUUCUUUCCCCCCUUUCUUCAGACCAAGUAGAAUGGACAGGUAGAACUGUUAGAAUCUGCUCAUGACUAAUCACACAUACACACAAACACUCUAAAAACACAGAACAAAAGUCUUAUCCAAAUCCACUGAAAAGUUCCCAUUCAAGCUACAUGUGUAUUACAUAAAAAUUGCUUGGCUUUCACAAGGACCACCAUUCUGAGAAGAGGAACUGUAAUGCAUAUUAAUAGGUGAAGAAAGCUUUCUUGGGAAGGACCAUAAAACCUUAGUGGCCAUAAACUCUGGAAAUAGAUUCCAGAAUGAAAGUGCUAUGAAAGCCCAGAGCACAGCCUAAGUAUGUGUGGGGCCAAGUAAAUAAAGUUUUUUUGUCCUGGAUUGCAAAGUACAAUUGGUGAGUUGUCUUCUGGGCUCCUCCACUUCCACUUCUUCCUCCUCGUUUUAGCCCACUUGUUGCUUUCUGAGUGUGACCAUGCAAUUAAUGGAGAAUAGAAAACUUAAAUGGUAACUUUUGCUGGAUAAAUUUUUUAAAAGAUAUUUCAUUAUAAACUUUAAAGAGAUGUCUUGGCUAACAUUUUGGACUAAACAAGAAACUGUCAUCAAAUUAGUGUGUUGCCCUUCAGAGGCACAGCUUUCUCCAGAAGGUUAUGCCUUGUGGACACAGUUACCUCUUGAGGCUAAAGGGGAUGUCCAGCUCUGGCUUAUCGUGUGUACACUGUGGAAGCCUAGAAACCAUUUGAUAUGAGAGUCAGCUUCCAAAUGGCCUCCCUCCUUCCUGACAUCACAGUCUUAAAAGUGCCUGUGUUUUCAUAAUCUUUGUAAGACCACUGAGGAGUGCUUGUUACCAGAUUUACAGCUCUGAUCUGUAUACAUCCACUCUCGGUCCCCACUAGAGUUUCUGCCAAGCUCUGGGGAUCCCACCUAGGCCUCCCACAGUGCAGCCACAGCACAUGUGUUUCCUGACCAAACUCAGUGCUGCUGUCUGUGUGCACAUUUUCAGUCUAUAAAUCCUCAACAUUCCCGUGCCUAUUGGCUAGGCCUCCAGCCAGUACUAUGUUGUAUGUGAGAAUGCCACGUUUCCCGAGAGACAGCUGAGCCCUCCUGGCUGGAGAGUGUGGAUAAACCUCCACGUGCUGGACAGGAAUGGGCUCUAGCUCAUACAAUGGUCUCCUUUGACCAACAUCCUAGGGCAGGGCCCAGGCCCUUUGUGUACAGAUGCAUUCAACUGCCCCUGACAGUGGGCUGUGUGACCACUCUGCUUUAACUGUGGAAGGUGGCAAUGUGUUUAUUUUGCUUCAGAUUUAAUUGGAUCACAGAUACUUUUUUUCAUCCUAGUAGGAUGAUUGGGCUUCCCAAGGGUGGCAGCACCAGCAAGGCUGGCAGCAACUAUCUCCUGUGGAAAGUCAAGGUAUGGCUUUAAUAAAGAGUUGACAAUUGUGGAUGAGUCCUUGGGGAGAGGAGAACAAAAUGUCACAUGUAUUAGUUUUAAUCACAUGAUUCAUUUUUCCAUUGGGAUUUUAACAUUUGUAACAUCUUCCCACUUAAAAUUCUGAAAGAAGAACAAGAACCUGGGGUCAGAGAGGAAGAAACAGACCAAGCCAAAUGCUGAGUACAGGUCAGGCAGCAGUAAUGUGUCACAUCGUAAAUACUGGGACUGGAAGUUAGCGAAGAUGGGGUGAGGGGUACUAAUAAGGGGAAAGUGAGGCAUUUCUGCUUUGGAUUCUUCACUUAGGAAUGGAGAUGGUACUUGGGCGAGCUCAGGCGGGGAAGAGGAAGGUAGAAGGGAAAAGGGUAUCCAGGACAGAUGCUGGAAACAUAAACAGAACUUUUAUUACUCUCCUCCUUCAUUCAGCACAUCUUUACGGAUUGCUUACUCUGUGCCAGGGAUUGUGCCCUGGGGAUACUAGCUUGUCAUCAUAGUCACAUCUACAUCUUUAUUAAAUGUUUCCGUCAGUCCGUGCUUGCUGGGUGCUCCAAGGGAGUUAACUGGAGUCAACAGUGGCCUCCCUGAACUCUGUGGAAAAGACAAGUUGCAUACGCUUCUUCUAUUACAGUGUUCAGUGUUUGGAAAUGAGCAGUCUUGCAUUGUUAUGCAAACGCCAAGGUAAUAGAAUGUGUAUAAAUUACAAUAAGUGCAAUUACUCACUAGAAAAUUUGUUGGUGCUUAGUUAUGUUAUUGUGUUCACUACAGAUUAUAGCUUGUUACUUUCUGUUCCUCUAGUGUACUUUACCCACUUAAGUUUUGAAAUAGAAAUGAAAUGCUGGUGUAUCAUCAUUUUGUAAGAAAGAUAUAUUUGUUUCUUCUAUUGCGUUAGACAGGUUAAUAUGUUUUUGCAUUUUAUAACAGGGAACUUUAUUAGCAUGAUGAAAUUAAUGCAUGCGGAGCAAUAUCUUCCGAACCAGUUGUUACCAGUAGAUAAAGUCUGAUGUGGUAAUUGCUAACUGAAUGUCGGAUCAGGGUUAUUACUGAAGUAAAAUCGUUCACUGUGGGAUGAUCAGAGCUACAAUAUUGUGAAUGAUAAAAGAGCUGCCUCCACUCCCAAGUUUUAAUUAACUGUUAAAGAGAUGUCCUGAGAGAUUUUGAAAGAUUCAUCUUAUCAACAGUGUUAUUUAUGAAUGAUUUACAAUAUUGUUACGGAGUCUUCUAAUGUUUCUAUCAUUCAAGGUCGAUCACUGUUUCCCUUAUGAACUCUUGUCUGAAGGCUUUGCAGACACGGCUUAAAUGUUCCUUUCAAAGCUUUGUGUGUAUCUUUCUUUAAAACAUCUCCUAAGGCCUUAAAACCCCAAGAGUUACUGUUUAUGGAUUGACUGUUAUUGAUCAUAUUUAUUCAUAUGACAAUGCCCAGCUCCAGUCCCAUAAAAAAGCUGUAAGCCUAAUUUUAUAGGAGGAAGUGACGUCUCUCCUUUACCAAUUGGUUGUUUACGUUUGGAAGUGAGUCUUGGUCACCCUGGAAGUCUGCGUGGGUAGAUUUGAUGUACUGUACCUUCUGCUUUUUAAUUCCCUAUUAGUCUUAUUCUAAUAUAAAUACUUUGGACCAUUAGUAAAGCUUCCAGGAGUGUGUAAUUUGUGAUCUGAAGGGGUCUUGAGUGAAAAUUCUGUAUUGAUCAAUUCUUAAAUAAGUAUAAAUAGAAACAUUUUUAAAGAAAAAUGUUCUCCAAAGAGUUAGAGCUCAAUUACAAUGACUAUAUAUCGAAAUAAUCUGUUAGAAAAUCACAGUUCUGUAGGUUAAAUCACAUUUCCUUUGCCCUGUAUUUGUAUAUUACAUCAUUUCCCAGGUACAGCUGAAGGACUGUGGCCAGUAGAUUCACAGUUGUGUGAUCCUUGGACUUUUAGAUCUACCAGCCGGAUCUCCUUGCCAGAGCUCUGCAAGAAUGAUUUUUUGUUUCCGCCCCCACGUUGGCAAGAGAGUCUCAGGCAUCUGAAUGCAGCAGGAUAGGACACAUCUUGUAAAGGUUUUCCAUUUUAAUAUCCCUUAAUGACCAAUAAUGAAUUCUUUAUAGUUAAUCUGCUGUUCUCAGGAAAACAAUCUAGAUGGUUAAAAAAAUCAAUCAUUAAUGAGCAGUAAAUGACAGCUCCCCAACAACACAGCUGUAUUUUUGUAAAAGUGAUUAAACAUUGUCUGCAUUCAUAAUUGCAUGGUUAAUAAGAAUGUUGAGCACCAAGUCAAGCAUUGUUGCUAAUGAUGACAGAUUAUGAUGCUACAAAUGCUUUGGAGUUAUGGGGCUAAAUUUUCAAAGGCAGUUCCUGGAACAGCAUGCACACAGACCCACUAAGUAUUCAAUUUGCAUGGACCAUUACCAGGUUUGUGCAUGGCAUUUGGGAGCUUUGCAGUUGAGAGUCUUUUGAAAAUCUGGCCCAUUAUGACAGAAAGCAUCUGUAAUUAACAGCAACUGAUCUCCCUCUGCCCAGCAUUGGUGAAAGGUGUAAAAUGCUCUGUGUGUGGUUUGAUGGAGCCCAAAGCCCCUUUGAUAGGCUGAAAGGAAGGCAAAAAGAGUCUUUAGGGAUGUAAUUCACCCUUGGAUGUAGUCGUGAAUAUCAGAGUUUUGCAAGCAGGUGAGAAAGUGGGCAAGUUAUUCAAAAGGGGACUUGAUAAUACUGUCAUUGAUUAUUUGCCUCUCCCAUUUUGGCCUUAAAUAUACUUACUAAAUCUCGGGAAUUCCUGGAUUAUCAUUCGUAGGUCUAACUAUUUAAAAUUUGAGAUUGUCCCAUGGUGCUGAGGGAUGAAUUGCAAUCUUUAUGAAGCUGUGGGCAGCGUGAGUCACUCAGUGAUUGAGCAAGCCACAUCUGCUGCUCAGUCUGUCUGUACUCUGAUCAGGUAUGAAGCAGUUCCAUGUAUGAAGCCAUACAUAGUCACAAUUUGUUAGGAAAAUUGCAUGCUAAAAGGGAAUUUAUGAAUUUGGGGAUUCUUGAAAACAUCUUGUAUCUCUCUGGGAUGUUGAAGGUCUGAUGGGCAGUUGGGUAACAUUGUGUCUUGUACUGUUAUUUACAUAUUCCAGUUUGUAUGGAUAUCUUAUCUCGACAGUACUUCGGCCUAGAGAACAGGAACAAUAUAUAUUAUUACUUUGACUCUUGUUUGUUACAGCACCUCACUCAGUGCUGCUUUUUCUGGAUCAGCCAGCCAUUGACUGAGCAGAGAGUUACAGAAUCUCACAGUCUGCAAGACCAACUGGCAUGGGAUUAAGAGUAUGGUUUUAAGAUGCCUGCGUUUGAAAUGCUACUGCCAUUCACUAGUGACUUUCUACACCUCUUAGGGCCUCACUUUUCUUCACUGGUAAAGUAGGAGUGAUAUUAGUGGGAACUUGUUAGGGUUAUUAUGAGGAUUCAGUGAGAUAAGUAUUUGAAACUUUCAGCAGAGUGACUAGGACUUAGUGUAUGCUCCUUAAAAGUUAAUUGUUCAUGUCUUUAUCAUUGUUGAGGCCUCAGGGCUAGGUCUUGAGUGAGUAAGUACCAGAGCUGAGUCUGGGAUCUCUUUAGCUGGGCUAGGUCAUUCCUUAUAGAUCUAAGAGGCAAUGAGGUGCCAACUGUUCUUGCCCCAGCCAUUUGGUCUCCUCAUGGAAGUCCCAGACAUCAUGGAGUAGACAAGAGCUGCCCCACUGUGUCCUUUCCAAAUUCCUGACCCACAGAAGCCAUGAGCAUAAUAAAAUGGUUGUCAUUUUAUGCCACUGAAUUUAGAGUAGUUUGUUAUGCAGCAAAGAUAAUUGGAACAAAGAAUCACAAUUUGACCACCAUAGUUUGGAGAUUAUUUAGGCCUAAAGAGGUUAGAUAAUCAUUUUAUUCAAACAAGGACUUAAUGGUAGAAUCAUUCUUAAGCACUGGGUUUCAGGCUUGAAGCUGCAUGCACUAUUCAUUACAUCAUGUACCUUCUUAUCUCUUGAUGUCAGCUCUACAUGUUUGUAUAGUUAAAACUUGACUUCAGGCCUCUGUUCUCAAGUCAUACACAUUCUAAGAAGUACUCUGUUCAUAUAGUAAGCCAUGAGGAAAUGAAUUACUUAUAAGCCUAGCAGAUAGGAGUCUAUUCCAGACUUUAGCUAGUGAGAGAUAUUGGGAGCUCUUAGAGAAGAGACAGAGACAAAGAAAUGGAAAUGGAGAGGAGGUGAGACCGUCUGCUGAGGUUGGAGCUUUGCAGAGGAGGAAGUGGAAGCAGCACAGCAGGAGAAAAUGAUGAGGCACUGGUGGAAAAGAAGGGUGGAAAUUGCUUCAGCUCUAUUGAGGCAAACAACUGUGUGCUGACAAGAAGAAGGUUGACGAGCGGCUUUAGCCAGUCUCUUACUGUCUGCAGCUAAAGGGGAAGAGAGAGGGUGGCUGCAUAUGGAGCAAGGCGCACAGGGAGUCAGCAUGAGAGGAGGGAGAAAGCUGCAGAGGGAGGGGAGCAACUCAGGAAGUCUAUGGAAGCAGCAGGGUGAGCUCUACUGAGCAGAGAGAUGGGGAGCCCAGCAAAGAAGCAGGGGAGCACUUGGCCCUAACUGCCCAAAAAAAAUAGGGUAAAUUGGAGACAGUGGGAGAUGAUGAGGAGAAUAAAAUAAAAGAACAAACAAAAAGUUCAAAGAGAACAUUUGGGAUGAAAGUUAAAGCAGUAUAGAGUAUCUGGAAGAGAUGGAAAAAAAUGGGGAUUAAAACAUAUUUUGGGUGAAAAUAGUGAGUUGAUUCAAUUUUUGAUAAAAGAAAAUAGUUUGGAUGAGAGUUUGAGUGGCAUGAUAUAUUUUGAAUGACCCACUUACAAAGGCCAUAGUGUUUUUCUACAAUAUUCCUGAAAGUGAAGUUUAAUAUGUCAUUUUAUUAUAGGAGAAAUUACACGUAUAUAAAUUUUAAAAAUGGAUCGGCUUGGAAUUGUAUUUUCUUGGAUUACUAGUGGAAAGAAAUAGCAUUAAAGAAUAAAAGCCUAUAAUUGUAAUAGAGCAACAAAAAUUCAAUAAGAGAGUGCUCAUUGUCUAACCAAUGCCUGUAUUUGAGACCAAAGAACACCAGAAACACAAGGGGUAAUUUAUCUAGCUCAUAUGGAAGAUCUUUCCCAUAUCUGGCCUUUAUAUUUUGACUUGUUAGUGUAUUAAAUCUGAAAUAUGAAUGCAGAAGAUGAUGAUGCUUCCUGUGUGCCAGGCACUGUCCUAAGCGUUUUACACAUAUUGACUAAUUUAACCCCUCAACAAUCACUUGGGGUUAGUUAGAUGUCUUUGAUUAUGUCCUUUUUGUGGAUAAAGAUACUGAGGCACAGUUCUCUUUUUUUUUUCUUCCUCAUAGCCACCUCUAUUUCUAAGUCAUUGGGAAAGAUUAGAAAGAAAACAUUAAGUGUGAUAAGUAGUAAAAAGCAGUUGUCUGUAAGGUCCUGGUCAUCCUCGGAACCUUGUCAGCCCCACUCACUGAGGCUCUGCUCAGGAGUAAAUCGCAUGUCUUCAUGUCCCACCCUCCUAAUGUAUUUGUUUAUUAAAGGAAUGAUUGGUAUCAUUAAUGGAAUGUUUUUUAUCUCUGCUUGUGGGAGAGCAGAAUGUUAUAAGGCCACCUAAGGAUGGGGUUUUAUUCUUAGUGGCUGUCUGAUAUAAAGGAAAGAAUAGGAACUCUGGAGUUAGACAGGCCUCUGACUUUGUAUCUUGGCUCUACUUCUUAUCAUUCGUUUGAUUUUGGAUAAUUUAUUUAUCAUUGUUUUAUUCACUUGUAAAAUCGGGAUAAUACCAUCCACUUUGCAGGGUCAUUGUGAAGAUUAAAUGAAAUGAGAGCUGUUCAGUGCCUGGGAAAGUGCUUGAGAAUUAGUAGAGGUUCAAAAUGUGUUACUUCUGGUUUUUUAUAGACCUGAUAAUUGGUGAUUGCAGAUAUUUGAUAUUAAUUAAAUCAAAUGCUGAUAAAGCCUGUGUAGGUGAGGCUGAAAACUUCAUAUUUUCAUAAGCGCUCGGAUUAUAUGUCUUCAUUAUGAAAUCAUCACUGGAUGAAAAGGUAGAAAAUAAUUAUGAGAUUUAGGGAAUGAUAAAAAAAAAAACCCUAAAAGAGAAAGCUAUAAAUUUCAAGAGAAAACUUUUAAUUUCAAAACCCUUCUGUGGUAGACAUAAUAUUGACUCCCAAAAUGUGUUUACAUCAUAAUCCCAAAUAUCUGUGGAUAUGUUAUCUUAUGUGGCAAAAGGAACUCUGCAGAUGGGAUUAGGUUAAAGUCGUUGAGAUGGGGAGAUUGAUUACCCUAGAUUAUCUGAGUGGGCCCAGUCUAAUCACAUGGGUCCUUAAAAAUCAGAGAAUCUUUCAGACUGUGGUCAGAGAAAGAGACCACAUGGAGGUGGAGGAUGGUCAGAGAAAUGGAACAUUACUGGCUUUGAAGAUGGAGGAGGAAGCAAUGAGCCAAGGAAUGAGGGCAGCCUCUAGAAGGCAGAAAAGGCAAGGAAAGUUAUUCUUCCCUAGAAUCUCAAGAAAGGAACACAACCCUUCCGACACCUGGAUUUUAGUCCAGUGAGAGCCAUGUUGGACUUCUGAUCUUCAGAAUUGUAAGGUAAUAAAUUUGUGUAUAUAUUAGUGCUACAGCUGUCUUUGUUGUCAAGAUGCCUGUUGGGAAUAGUCUUAACUUUGGAAAUUUCUUAGCCCUUGUGCCUCCCUCCUAAUAGAGUCCUUUUGUAGAUAUGCUAUGGCAAGCCCCCUUUGGAGUGUCUUUUAUUUUUCUGUAGCCUGCCCCCUUUUGACUCGCAGAUAAACCACCACAGUCAUGUUUGCACUACAGGAUUGUCCACUUGGUAACAGUUGAUUUGAACAGAAGACAUUACUUGGCUCAAUCUGGACCAAUCUGAAUGUCUUUCCCAGGAGUUUGGGUUGGGUUGAGGGAGGUGUUAGUCUCAGCCUCUGCAUGUGGCUUGAACUGAGGUGGUGUAAACUUGUGGGGUGGCCAUGGAUAUGGAGAAGGUAAAAAUUGGGUCUGUAGGGAGAGGAGCCUGAGGCUCAUGGACAUAGCAGAGCAGAGAUGAGGGUCUGAGAGAAAGACCAAGAAGGUGGUAGCCUUGUUCCUGCUGGCUCUCAGUCAACAUUUGUACCUCUGCUGGGGCCCAGGCAUGUCCUGCUCUGGAUCCACAAGAUAACAUUGUACCAUUAUAAAAAAUGUCCUUUUUUUCCUUAACCUUGCUAAGAGGUUUUCUGUUGCUUGCAAACAGAAGGGGCUUCACUAAAACACCCACUGUGAGGGAGAUGAAUCAAGAAGAUGGGAAGGAGAUUCCAUUAAUGUCAUUUUGAGUCCUCAUUCAUGCUUUAUUCCAAGGAAGUUUAUAGAAAGAUUCAGAGCAACAUGAUUAUUCUGUCAGCCAGGGAGCAUUUUGUGCUUCUACAGCUAUAGCUGGAGCUCGUGGCAGGGCCCACCUUAUGGGGGUUGAGGCUCAUGGCUACAGACUGCUUCUAUAGGCUCUGGCCAAAGGCAUCUGAUUCUCACAUUCAAAAUUAAUGUUGGCCGAGGGGUAUUUUUAAAUCAGGAUUUUAAAAUUUCAGCUGACCUUGCUGCAGCAAGCUUCAUCAUGCAAACAUGGCACUUUAAAGACCCCACCUUAGUGUUUUUCUGUAGUUAUUUAAUUUUAAGAAUAUGCCUGGUAGAGAUUAUGGUUUCUUGGAGGAGAACUUGCAGUCAGAAAUGAUGAUUUCCUAAUUAUCAACUCAUAGAAUUUAAAAAGCAACUGUAAAAAUCAUGUUAUUCAACUCUUUAGUUAUACCGACAAGGAAAUAUGCUCAGAAGGGUUAAAUGGCUUACUUUUGGUCUUGAUUGGGUCUUAUGUAUAUCUAUAUGCAGAAUUACCAAAUUCAUGAUUAUUUAGAGAAUGAAUUAAGUAUCAGAGAACACAGAAGUUUUUGGACUAAAAUAUUUCUAUGAAUACUAACUGAUUUUUAUAAUGCAUAGAAGAUAUUACCUUUCUUUUUAUGAAUUGGAAUUAUUUCUAUAAACCCGAGUAUGCCCAAAGAAAUACAAUUUCUUUGAUGGACUGGAUGUUAUUAACAAGAGGUCAAAGAACCAUAAAGGUAAGUAUCCAUGCAUUCAUUCAUCUCCCUCCCCCUCUCCCUCCCAUCCUCUCUUCUUCCCUUCUUUUCCUUCCUUCUUUUCAAUUAUUUAUUGAGUACUUACCAUAUAUCUAACAAUUUCUAAAACCUGGAGAUACAAUAGAAUCAUAUGCCUUCAUGUGGUCUUCCUCUAAUGGAGACUGCCUUUGUGGUGCUUACAUUUAAGUUGGGAAGAACGGAAAGUCAACAUGUAAAAAAAUUUAUGAGAUAGUUUUGGACAAUGAUAAAGUGCUAUGAAGAAAAUAAAAAGUGGUGACAUCAUAGAGAAUAAUAGGCUCUGGAGUAAUAUAGGGUAUAAUUUCUCAGGAUGAGGAGGUAACUUUUAGCUGAUCUAUUUAUUCUAUUCAUCUAUUGUCUAUCUAUCUACCCUAUCUAUCUUCUUUGAUUACAUAAGACAACAUGAUGACUCCUAUUUAUUCUCAGAAAACAGAGAUUAAAUCUCUUUCUCUGGUCACAGAGUUCAUGAUUGUAAAUCCAGUUUUCUUUCCAUUGCGUCAGCUGCCACCUCAAAAGGGAAUUGGAUUGGGAGACUGUUCUCAAAGAAUUCGUAUUCAAGUUGGACAGAGAAAACACAAAGUAUUUUAUGGGAUAGUAUCUCAAAGUACAAGUUGGUUUCUUCUUUUUCUCCACAAUACUCACAAAAUCCCUUUACUUGUAUCCCAAGGACUUCUUCCUUGGCCUCACUCGGUCCCCCAGAGCCCCCACACAUGGACAUGAGACAAAUCAGAAACAAACCCUGCAAAGCUCAACCACUCUUUGGGAAGUGGCUGGUCAGUGUAAGGGAAAGAUUCAUCAGAUGCUCACUUUUAGUGCUCAUUUUCCCCCAUCUGAGAGUCUAUACUGUCAAACCUCAACUGUUACUGAAGCAAACACCGUGUGUCAUCAGUUUCAGCCAGCUGUGAGGAAACUGAGUCACCACUGACUUAUUGCUUUCGUUGCUGGAUGUUGAAUAUCACUAAUCCCAAGGAGUCUUUUCUUGUCCGGUGGGCAGUCAUGCUUGUCUAUAUGAGACGAUUUGUCUGGAUCUGACCUAUUCUGUCUGCUAGCCCAGGAGGAUGCAAACUCUGCUGACAAGGAAGGGAAGGGAAGACUCAGGACCUUGAGAGAUGAUGGUACAUGAAGGGGAAGCUUCAGUUCUGAACAAGAUAAGGCUAGAUAUCCUCAGAAAUCACUAGUUGUAUUGUUUAUUGUCAUAUUGGUUACCUAUUGCAACAAUAAUGCCUCAUAACAAACCACCUCACAUAUCAGUGGCUUAACACAAUAAGCAUUUAUUUAGUCUGUGGGUUGGUGACAUAGGCUGGACUUGGCUGAGUUGCUCUGGUCUCAGCUAGGCUCAUUCCUAUGUCUGGCAUUGGGCUUUUGGGUCAUCUAAGAUUGUUCCUGCUGGGAUGACUGGGCCCACUCAGCUCUUCACAUGUCUCUCAUUUAGUAGGCCAGCCAUGCAUGUUCUCAUGGCAGUUGUAGAAGACCAAGAGCAAUCAAGGUCAACUGUGCAGCCAUCUUAUUGGCCAAUCAGGUCUCAUGACUAAGCCCAGAGUCAGCAUGGAAGAGAACUGCAGAUUUACUUUACAAAGAACAUGGAUUCAAGGAGAGGCGAAGACUGAAUUGAGGCUAUUAAUACAAUGAGUAACACCAUGGGUUAUACAGGGUUGGAAUGUUAAGGGUUAAUUAUCUACCAAACAGUCUGGGCAUAGUUUGAAGGGUAGAUUGGAGUAGGGAGAAACUAGAGGCAGGGAGCAUGGACAGGAACUUUUCUGGGAGAACAAUAGCAAUGCCAGAAUCUAGGGUGACUGGGAAAAUGGGAGUGGAGCGGUGGAAGAUAUUGCCUAACUUGGUUAUGCGAUGAAUGGAGAAGGGCAGGGGCAGUGCAAAGGAGAUGGAGGAGGCAAGUUGACUCAGAAGUCAGUGAUCUGGAGGGUGAUAAUAACCCAACAGGCAGGUAACCCUCUCAUGAGAAGUAGGCGAAGGCCUGAAGAUAACUUGUGAAAGAAGAGAGAAGCUUGGUGACAUGAGUAGGUCAGGUAUGUGGGAGACAGAGCAGCAGGAAAGCAAUGUGAUGGGAGGGUUGUCUGAUGACAGCUGUAAGGCAGGUGGGAGGAUAAUGACUGUGAGUGCUGGAGGUGUGGUAAGGCCAGGAGCUUGAAGCUCAUGGACCAUAAUUUGGAUUCACCAUGUUGGAGAAUUGAGAGUUUUCCAGGACUCUGAGGAGAGUUUGUAUGUCUUCCUCAGUUUCCCUCCAGUGCCCUUAAGGCUGGAGCCUUAUCUAAGCAUCAUGCUCGAGGAGACCCCUGCAUAGGUGGAGGCAUUAUGAUGUGCCCAGACCAUGACACUUUGUUUCCCUACGGUUUCCAGGCCCUGCUGCAAGUCUAAUCAAUUAUGUCAGUGCCACUGCCGCCUUUCCCAGCUCACAUUCAGGUGCUCUCUGAGUGUCUCUCUUUCUUUUUAUCCUAUCUAGUUCAAUAAACAAUUGUAAAAUCUGGCAAUCAGGAUGAAGCCAAGCAUUCUAAAUCUUAAUUUAUUUUUCUGUUUUUCCAAUAAAAAGGUCGUCUCAAGACACCCAAAGUGGAAAGUAUUUUGAAUUACUUUCUUUGACUGACUGUCUUGAAUUCCUCAGGAUCACUGUUGAUAACAUUCAGAAUGAUUUCUGGGACACAGCACUAGGCUUAAAAUAGUUUGAAAGCUUCUGCGGCAACCACCUGAUAUGAGAAGUGAUUUGUUACCCCUGUUAAGGAAGAAUCAGAUGUCAUGUUAUACAAGGUUAAUGAGCAACAACUGUUUCAUAGCUUGAGCACGGCCCAUACUGCAGAACCUCGUUUCUCCCUGCUCCGGAGAGAGCUGCAGUCUUGUAGGUAAAAUAGAAGUUACUAAAUACAGACAUUAUUUUUUGUAUGUCUUAGGUCCGCCCAAUCCAUCUUUGUCUCCUUUGUCCUUGUGAGGCACCUCCUGCCAUUUGAAGUAAACUGAGUCUCUGUAAAGGGCCAACUUGUUUCCACAUUGUCAAGGAGACCAGAAAAUAGAACCUGGGUAGCAAAACAAAGCUUUUGUGGGAGUGGGUGUUGCUUGAAUGUGGAAAAUCUGAAAACACGUAGAUUUCCUGCUCCUUCCCGGAGCUGACUUCUGCUGGGGUUUGCUACUGGAAGACUGAUGCAUUUCUCUUCUCUUCAGUCUAACAUUAACCAGCCAUUGUGUAAUCACCAAUCAUGAAAUAACUGGUUCUAUGCGAAUAGUUCACAAAGUAUGGUCUGUGGGCCUGAGGCAUCAGAAUCACUUGUAUAAAAAUCUCUGGGUCUGGGUCUUGGGAAUCUACCUUUUUUUUUUGGCAUGCAUUCCAGGUAAUCUCAUACUCCUUGAUGGAUAAGAAUUCGCUAUCCUAAGGGGCAAGUGUACAUUUAUUUGUUAUUAAUUAUAUGCUUCAAAAGAACAGAUAGCAGCAGCAAAUGAUUAAAAAUGUGAUCCUUGCUCGUGGCUCUGUAAAACAGUCUAAGCUGACUUCAGACUUGAAGGCAUUAUCUCACAGUCAUUUUUCAUUUCAUCUUUGGUUGUUUUAGCAGAGUGUGGUGGAGAUGACUAGUUAUUCACCCACAAUUCAUUCUCUCCCUUGCAUGUAACACACAGGUGUUGCUGGGAAGUGGCUGCCCAGUCAUGGACUAUGUGGCUAACUUGAAUCUAGGAAUGGCCUAGUGACUAGUACUCCCAACGGAAUGGAGCUGAAAUCAUGUGGCCAUUUCUUCCCCUUCUGCCUGAGUGAAGAGUAUUCUGAGGCCCAAAUAGGGGAUAAUUGGGUUGCUGAAUCACCAUGUGCCAUGAGUACCUGCUCUAGACUUUUACCUGAGUGAGAAGUAAGCUUUCAGAGUGUUGAGCCCCUGAGAUUUUGAGAUGUUAACAGCUUUUGUUACUCCAGGUAAUUCGUGGAGUUUGGCCUAUUAUUUAGGUAGUUCUAGAUGAGAACUAUGUUCUUUCCCAGCUCAGAUUUCAAAUACAUACGGUUUGUUCAAACAACAUAGUCCUCUGCUGAAAAGUAGGGAAUCAUCUCUUUGGGGAAAGAGCACCAGUCUUAGAAUUAGGAAAGUGGGUCCAAGUCCAAGUUCUGCCACUUACUGGCUGUGUAGUUUUAGACAAAUCACUCAAUUAUUCUGCGCCUCAGCUUCUUCCAUUAUUUAGAGAGAAUAAUAAUACUGUAUUAUUUGCCUCUCAAGGUGUGUGUGAAGGUCAUGCAUUCACUCUUGAAAACACUUUGUAAAUUAUGAAGUGCAUUAUACAAAUGAGAGGGAUGACUUGGUUCUUUUUUUUACAGAGCUAGAAUUAAAUACUAUUUUCUGGCUUCAGUAUUUUCAAUAGCUUCCCGAGUUUCAGCUUUGUCCUUUAGAAAAUAGGGAUAAUAAAGCCUACUUGGGUUAUUGUGAGGAUAAAAUGAGAUACUGUACUUGAUGGUGUCUAGCACGACACCCAACAUAUUACAGGAACUCGGAAAAAUGUUAGCCCCUUUCCCUGCAGCACUGUGUGCUUGGGGGAGGUGAUUCAGGGAGAGUCCAUGUAGACUGAUGAUAAAUACGAACCGAGUUCUCCUUUUGCUUAUGUUUUACUUACCUCUGUAGACUGGAGAGAUCACUUUCUCUGUAUCAUAUGUCCCAUUCUCCCCUGAACUUGAUGGUGGCCCCAUGGCAGCAGGAAACGUGGCCACAGAGGAGCCGUGGGCCUGUUUGUAGUGUUGCCUGCUUCCAUUUCUUCUCCCAAAAAGUUGGGAACUCUAGUCAUGGUGAGUCUGAUGGGGUACCUUCUGAAGUCUCUGGCCAGCCAGAGCCCUGAAAUUCAGACCUCGUGUUCCUGAAUGCUUUCUCACCUGCAGCUCUUCCCCUUGAAACUCGUCUUUUCCCUGUUCCGUCUUCACUUGGCUUAUUCUUUACCGUGGAAUCUUCUUAACUUGGACUAUCCUCAAUCUAAUUCACUUGACUAGAAGUUCAAGACACAGAAAUGUGAUUCUAAAAUAAGUUUUUACAAUGGUAAUGAUAAUUCCUGCAGUUUAUUUCUAUACUGUGCUACCAUUUUCAAACUACUUUCACCUGAGUAAUUUUGUUUGUUCACUAUUGGUUUUCAUGGACUCACAGAAGCCAUUCUUUCCUUUGCUUGUCUUAGGUGCAUUUAUUGGGCGUCAUACCAUGGCAGGCUGCUGGGAGGAUGGGGUAUAGUAGGGUGUAGGGGACAGAGUACUAAUAUUUAUCCAUUAUGUAUUUUUUUGUCAAGUUAGUUUCAAUGAGAGUUAGCUAAUUUAAUUCUCUCAAUAAUUUUUCUGAAGUGUCUCCAGCGCCUCGCCCAAUACUUACGGGUGACCUACUGUAAAAUUCUGUAGAGAGGUUAAACGCUUGUCCAAAGUCAAAAAGCCACUUGGUGCUGGAGAUGGGAUUUAAAUUCUGGUCUCUGACUCCAAAGCCCAUGCUCUUGCCUGGUGUUACUGUCUCUAGCAGGUGGCUCAAGGGAGACAAGUAGCUGCUGCUUAAAUAGUUCCAUGUCCGGUUAUUUGGGGAGCAAAGACAAACAUUUGAGUAGUAAGACAAGGGAGCCCUCCUCUCAUCUUCUCUCCCUUCUUCUUGCAACAUUUAUUAUCUAUAAGGUGGCACCCAGUAUUCCAGGCUCUGGGGUACAGACUUCCCCCAUCCUGCAGCCACCUGUCUAAUGGACAAGACAGAUAAAUUGAUAAACAGCCAGGCAAAUAAGCUAAUGUGUGGCAAUGAUAACUGCCAAGAACAAUAAAGCAGGGCAAGGGAGUAACAGUGACGGAGCUUCUGUGUUAGGUGUGGUGCUUAGGAAGGCGACAUUUGAGUAGGUGACACCUGAGUAGGUGACAUUUGAGCAGAGACUUGAAUGAAGAGAAAGCCUGCAAGGGAGUGGGGUGGGAAGGGGAACAACACAUGCGAAGACUGACUGAAACCAGCUAAGUGUUUUGUAAGAAGGUCAGAGUGUACCUGGGUUGGUGUAAGCCCAGGAGGGUGGUGCGGGUAAAACUGGCAAGUUCAGGAGAGGCCUGUGGGCCUUGGUGAAGAUGUUGGAUUUUGUUCUGAGUGAGGUUGGAAGCCAUUCAAGAAUUUUGAGCAGAGAAGUGAUAGGUUCUGACUUAACAUUUAAAAAUAAUCACUAUGGCUAUUGUGUGUAGUUUAGAUUUUAGGGGGCAAGGAGCCCGGUUUAGAGUCUAUUGCAGGCAACCAUGUAUGAGAAAACCCAAGGUGAAUGGUAUCAAAAACAAAUAUUUCAACACUUCAUUCUUUCACUUUCUUUUAUCUUUGGAUUUUUUAUUUCAGUUCUUUGUAAUUCUCUUUAAAUUUAUUAAAUUUCUACUAUGUUCAAGAUACUGUGAAAAUUGCCAUUUGUGUCUUUAUCCCUUUCUUUGAAACUUUUCUUACAAUCUAGAUUUUUUUUACCUAAACCAAAUUACACAUUGUUCCACUUAUCUUAACAGAGGUAGAAAGAAAUCGAUUGCUUUGGUUUUCCGAUAGCACAAACCUGGCUGCAGAUCUGAAACAGAAUGAACUGGCAUUAGAGUGAUAGCAGGCCAGCCUGCCAACAGCACCCUUUCUCAUGACAGCAAGCUAAUGCUGGAAAUGGUCAGGACAAAGGUCUAAGUUCGUAAUCAACUGCAAACGUGGACUCUUCCCUUCGGAUAGCACUUGUUCUCCUCCAGCUGAAGCUAUACUGGCCUCCCUUCAGCCAUGAAAACAUUCAGAUGUAAAAAAAAAAAAAAAGAUGCGUCUUGAACACUUAACCAUAAAAAGAAAAGGACAAGAAUGGAUGUUUUCUUAGCAACUACAGUGCUGGAUCAUCACAUAUCUCAUCUGAUCUUAACACAAGUACUCUGUGAGGAAAGCUUAAUGACUCAACAAAUAAAUUAUCUCUUCAAUAACUCAAAAUGGGGAGGCUUCAAGGAAUUUCACAUAACUGACCCCUGGAUACAUAAAUAUAUUAAGUUCCAAGGCACAUAUAAAAUGCCUACAGAUCUCAACAAGAAAAUGGGAUGUUUCUCUGCUAUCAGCUAAAGCUGCUGUGACCAUAAAACGAAAAAAUCACCUAUUGUCUCCUUGCUCAUAAAGAAUGCCCACUAAAAUUGGUCCAGUAUCUUAUCUCUCCAUCCAGACAGUGCUUGUUGCUAAAUACACAGCCUGUUUUUACAGUCUUCACUGAACUCUGGUUUCUGCCAUUUUCAGUGGGGGGAAAAUUUGUAUGAAAAGUUCAUAAGUAAUGUGCAAAUGGGCUAUAUUUUUGCAACUUGCUUUCAUUGUCAUCUGGGAUCCAUCGAGAUUCUUCUGGGGAGACUGAACACCGUUCUGUGCUGCUAGUCUGGAGGAGUGAGGAGAGAAAGCAUGACCCUACCACUUGGAUGAGAGUUUCUGACAUUGCAAGGGCAAAGAUUCUGAACAUCAAAGAUAUCCUUGAUCAUAGAUCUUUGAAAGCAACUCUAAAACUUUCAGAGUGGACAAAAAGAGGCCUUUCCCAUCUCCACUGAGUCCUGAGAAAUAAGAUGUAUAUUUGAGAUGCAGCAAGAAAGACUUUAGAUUCUUAACUUUUGGGAAGGUCACAUACCCCUUUGAUAAUUAGAUAAAAAUUAUGAACAUUUUUCACAGAAAAAAUAUCCAUAAAGACACAUACAUAGAAUUUUGAAAACUUGAGGGUUGAUUUAUAAAAACUUGAAAGUGUUUGUUCCCUGAAUACUUCUCUGGAUUGUUUAGGGGUCCUGGACCCCAGGUUAAGAAUCCCUGGAACUCUGAGGACAAUUAUGGAAAUCUACCUUGACAUCUCUGUCAAGCUGUGUUCCCCAGCUACACUUACCUAUCUUAUAUGCAGGGAGAUGUUAAGAGUAAUAACCUGUGUUAUGUGCCUUUUGUGUCAAUCUGCCAAUUCAGGAGCUCCAUCUUCUGCAAAAUCCUUUUCCCUCCCCCCACGUAAUUAUGUCUGAAAGUCCCCGAGACAUUUCUGUUGUGUUCAUGAACAAGCCCAGACAGUGGUCACAUGACGUCCUCUGGGUCCUGAUGCCUUUGCUGGACACUGAUACCCUCUCUGUUGGAUGUCUCUUGCUCCUCUGAGCACUGCCACCUCUGUUAGGCACCAGUGCUCAGCCUGCACAUCAUUGCCACUUUUGCUGGGGUCCAUGGUUUUCUCCUUCUGUUGAAGCAUUGGAGCCCUAGAGGGGCCAGGCAUGCUCUCUAUUCUCCAGAAUUUCACUGAUUUCAGGUACUCUGCUGUCAGGGAGAAUGCUUUUCUCUCUUUUGUGUUACUGUUAUUACCAUUAGAUGGUUUCUAGUGAGUUCUGAUUUGAUGGUCUUUAGCAAGAUAAUCUUUAACCUUUCUUUUCAAUUCCUCCCUCCUUGGGGUGAAGGGCAAACCCAAGUGACCCCAGAUUGUACUCAGAAUCCUCAGUCCUCUCCCAUGAUUGAAGUUUGUCUCUGGUCCAGUGUCGUUUUUCUGACUCACUCUCCCUUUGGGAGCUCCUCAUGCAAAUGCCAUUCCAGGGGCCUGCCUCCUCCCCUCCAUUGAGGAUGCUCAGAACUGGGGCUCAGCAAGAAAUGGACCCAGCAUAGAUUUAAACGAGGAAAUUCAAGAACAUCAAUAUUUAAGAAUAACGUAGACAAUAGUGUGACCUUUGGGGCUUAGACAUAAUAUUUUAGGGGCUAUUUUGAAGAGGUCUUCCGGAUCUCAGUGGUGUCCCUCCAAAGAUGAGCUCUUUAUAAUUCUACUCUGUCCUAUAUCCAAGCCAGUGCAGUACUGUGAAAAACGGCAUUAACAAAAUUCUAGGCUCUUACUGGAAACAAGCUCCUUCUUUCUUGUAAAUAAGUCUAUACAACACCUGUAAUAAGUUAGAGUCAGAAUGAUCUUUCUGUCAUGAUUCCAUUUUUUUAUACAACUCAUGUACCUCAAACUCCGCAGGAGUCAAUAAAAUAUGAUUCUGAAAUAAUACUGAAUUUUAAAGCUUAGUAUGCAGUGUGUGGAAAAAAUGCCUCACCAUUUUUCUUGCUGUCAUUUGAAGGUAUAGGUGUAGAUUCAUCACAAUAUUGGAAACACAUUUUGAAAAUGCCAAUAUCUCCAUCAGUUAUAGAUUUGUCAUAAUUAAUGCUGACAGCUCCUGCUGUACUAUUGUAUUCUUCACUCACACCAUUACUCCUCUCUCUGACACGCCGGACUGUGUUCACCUGCCUCAGUGUGGCUCUCUCUCCAGUGUUCUAUAUGCUUUCCCCUUCAACUUCCUACUGAGUGCCCUGGCCAUCCUCAGGCCAAACAGGGAAUUUCCAAACCAGUCUUCAUCCAUUUGUCUUAGGAACUUUCUUCUUCUCCCUCCAUCUUAAUUGCAUUUUCUCUCAUAAAGUAUAAUAUUUCACGUAUGCAUAUAUAUACAUAUAUAUAUAUAUAUAAAAUACUUCUAGGGACUCAUAGAGUAGGAAUGUAUUGGAUCAACUUGCAUCAAACUGGAACUUUGUCUUUUCUGCAAUUUAUAUAAUUUCCUCAUGAGGCUAAUCUUCUUGGAUGUAUGUAUAGGGUAGGUGGCAGGUGGUGGAAGAGGGAAAUUAUGAAGUUGCAAAAUAAUUCUAUGACUCCUUAAUGAUCUCUUUUAUAUGGCAUUCUCGUUCAGAUAAAUGCUCAGUUCUCAGGUUUUCUCUCCCUCCCCAGCUCCUUUCUGAGGCUGCAUCUUGGCAGAUGUCGGAGGAGGGCCUUAUGUCAUCUUUUGGCGUGGGCGCAGGGGGCCUCACUGUUUGCCAGGCAUCCUCUGGAUCUUCUCUGUUAAUUGGGCUGAUGUGCAAUGAGGUGCAUCUGACCCCACCUGGACUCUUGGAAAUGUGUGCUGUCAUUGACUGCUGAAGUCUGUGCCUCUGGCCAUUUUCUUUUGAUCAAGAAAUCCCCACAUGCUGCAGCAUGUCUAGACUCUGUGCCUCUGCCAAUCCAGCAAUUGUCUUAGUACUUCUGAUCUCUGCCUGCGCUCCACCAGGCAUGCAGGACACCAGAAACCCUUGAAGACAUGUGAAGGUGGAGGAAAGCCAGGAGCAGAACCUCAGGCUCGUCUGCCUUGCCACAUCCAUCUGCCAGGGCUCCCUCACUCCUCUGCAUGCCGGAUGUGGCACUGAGCCACACACCAGGCUACUCCUAGAAGCUUGCAGGUUUUCCGGGCUACUGCUGAGGAAGCCAACCCCUACCUGGAUGGAUGUGUCCUUGUGUUCCCCCCACCUCACCAUCCUCACUGUCCUCUAGGAUUUUCACCUGGAGCCGGAAGUAGGAGAUAUCUCUAUGGCUGCCUCUUCCUCCCUUCCUCCUCCUUCACUUUCCUUCUGCCUUAGAGGUUUUCCUUUAUUUUCUCUUCCAAUCUGGAAAGAACUUUCUCUGAGGUCAUGCUGGCGGAGAGGCUGCCAGACAUCAUGAUUCAAGGUGGUGUGAAUGGAGGGAGAGAAAUAGAAAACAUAUCAUUUUAAAAUUUUCAAAAUAGCAUCCUGAAAAUAAAAUUAUAUACCUGUAACUAGUGUUUCCCCAAACCACAUAUCAUCCUUGAAGAAAGAUGUGGAUCAUAUGAAUGGUAAUAAGUACUAUUCUUGUUCUCGUCUUUAUUUUUUACUUGGGGACUCUAGCCCUACUCAAAGUUUUCUGCAUUUAUUUCUGUGAUUCUUCCUCAUGCAUUUCUCUAAGUAGUGUGAAUGUGACCAGUCCUCAUCUGUGGCCUCCGAUAUCUGGGAAGCCCUGCGCAUCCCUUCCGUGGGUGUCCAACAUUGACGAUGAUAGUGAUGAUGCUCAGGCCAAGGACGCUGUCUCCAGUUCUUUGCAAACAGACUGACCUCUGCUGCUCUGGAAAUGCUUGGGGCAGGGUCCUUGGGGAACCUGACUGCUGUGGUUGCGCUGCUGCUGCCCCAGGAGCUGGGUGAGGCAGGAGUGGGAGGAAGCAUGCAUCCUGGCUGCUUCUUACCCUGCUCUGGCUGCACUCGUGAGGUGCAGAACCCUCUUCACACUGGGCUAUGAGGAAGUGGCAAGAAGGUCUCUCUUCUCCUAGGAUGCUAGUCAUACUUCUUAAAGUCUUUCAGGGAUUUUUUGAGAGUACAAAGCUUAUCCAGUGUUAACUUGCCACUCAUAGCAUAGUUCCAUUAUGGGCUAUGAGAAAACAUACCAAAACUAAGCUCGUUGUACCUCUUUUGGUGCCUGAGGUGUGCUAUUGGGUCCCGCCUUUAACUGCUAUUUCCUCUUUUGGUAUACUUUGCAUGUGUUUGGUCUUUGGGAGGUUCCUUAAUUCAUUAUGCAAACACAUAACUUGUAGGCUCUUCCAACCACUUUUCCAGACACCAUAUCACAGUGGUAAUAAAAUUUAUUCUUAAUCUGGGGCUCCUACCUCCACAUAUAAUUUUUAAAAAUUAAAGAUUUACAACUUUCUGUUUAAAUCUGUAAAUGUACCAAGCAAUCCCUUAUAAAUCUUUUGGUCUCUUAUUCCCUGGGUUGCCAAAUGGUUUCAACAAAUUAAAGAAACCCUUGAAAUGUUUGAAUCCUGUCCCUACUAGACCCAUUCCAUAAUAAUGGAAGUAAUUAAUUAAACAAUCUCUUUGUGUCAGAGUCUCUUUUAAGUAAAGGCUUUUAGGUUUUUCUCUUCUUCCUGCUCUUUCCAAAGAUGGUAUCUAAUCUUACAUCUCCUUUAUUACAUUGGUUUGUAUGACUUUUCAAAAAGUCUUUUGCUUUCAAACUGGGGAAAAGUAAAUUAAAGGUGGUGGGAUGGAAUGAAAUGACCCUCCCCCCUCCAAUUAGGAUCAUAAAUAAUCUAUUGGGAGAUUGUGCCAUCCAUUCUGGUUGACUCAGACAGAGCCAUUCUCAGCUAAUGUGUGGGCUCCUGGUAAUAAAAGCAGGAACAAGUAGGAGUCAAAUGUUCCUUUAGCAAAAUGAUGUCAGUUAUUUCUCAAGGUUCUCAAGAAGUAGCUUUAAAAUCAUCUUAAUAUGAGGAGCAUGUUUCCUUCAUGUGAGAAUAGUAGACUGAGCCUCCCUAGCAUAGUUAAUUGAUUGAUUCAUUAAUUAAUUAACUAAUAAUUAAUUACUUGCUACUGUGGUGAGAUGUGCUUGUCCUUAAUCGCGGAGGAACUUAGCACCAGGCUUCUGUGGAAAUAAAUGAAGACCCACCAAGUAAGAAGAAGCAAAGGCUAUUUAUUCAGAGCUUGCAAGGGAGUCAGCUACCAUCACGUUCAUUUUGGCAGAGACUCAAAGGCAGGCAGAGGAGUGGGAAAACUUUAUAGUGGAAAAAAGAAAGGCUUCAAAUAUGCCCUGAAUGGAGGCUGUUGGCAUGGGGAAGGUAUUAGUGGGCUAACUAGAAGCGGGGCAUCCUAUGUGAUUGGUUAGGGGUGCAUAUUUGGCUUUAUCUGGUUGGCCCUAAGUUGGAAGCAGGGACAAAAAUUAAGGAAUCUGUUAGUUAUUAAUCGAGUUCUGGAUGUUUUGGGCUGAUUGUUACAGGGGUUAUUAUUUGGAUUGGUUGCUAGAGAUAGUGGUCUGAUUUCCUACAAGUCAUGCUGGCUUCCUGGGCUUGUUACUGUAGAUAAUGGGUUGGUGGUUGUUGCAGAUGGUGGGGUCAGAGUUCUAUUUAUAUAUGAUCUGGCCAUUGUCUGUUUGUAUAUUCAGCCUCUCAGUUCACUAGAGGAGAGUCAACCCAAAUCAGACUAUAUACUGUUUCCUUUCACACAUUUACAGUACCAGACCUCAUCCAGACUUUUGAAGCCAACAGGAGCCUUAGGCAGAACAAAACCUACAUGAACUUCCAGCUGAAGUUGAAGUUAUAUGAACUUGAAAGAAACAAUUAGGAUUAGGGGGCUGGCAUUUCUCAAAUGGUGGAGGGUGGGAUUUUUUGGAGGAGAAAGGUAGAACACCGGCCAGGACAGUUACUUAUAGAUAGGCUGAGGGAAGAUGAUGUGGGAGAGGGGGGAGAUGAGAGAAUUAGUAAGAGAGGAAACAUCCACAUGGGGCAACCUCCCAAGGCCUAAAUUCUAGCCUCUCAGAUCUUGCUUGAGUUUCCCUGAGAAACUAGGCUAAGAAUAGAGUCCCAAUUCCCAAUCUUUUGUCUCCAGUUUGCUUUAUGAUGCUUGUCUAAUGCCUCAGUGAAAGAACUGCUUAUGCCUGCACAUCAGUGUGGGUUCAGUAGGAGAAGAUGGGCAUGGUGAUGCUGGAGAAGGACAAUGUCCAGGUCAGCUGGUUGGGCCCUGGAUGAGAAAGGGUUGAGGGCUCCCCAUAGCCCCCCAACAUCUGAAGACUAUUAGAUGGAAAGGUCUACAGGCAAGUAGGCAUCGCCUCUGAGUAGGAGACAGCAAGGCUGCAUUCCCUGAUCUUCCUGUCAGGCUCCUUGACAAAGCAAGGGGAAGCCCAGAGCCACCUGGGCAAUAUUAACCUCCCACCCCCAAAACAAACAAACAUACAAACAAAAUAAAGCAAAACAAAUCAAAACUAGCCUAAAGAUUAAAAUUCCCUAAAUUGUGACUCAGCACAUAUUUGGUAUAGAUUACCCAUACACAUAAAUAAUGUCUCUAUUCUGGCUUUGAUAUAGUUGAAACAAAAUAUUGAGCAAGCUUUAUUUACUUUUGGUGGGUAGGUUUCUUUGCUAAAUAUUGUUUUUACUGGUCAAAAAGCGUCUUCCCUUAAGGAAAAUAGUCAUAAUAUCCAAGGUACCAAACUUAUCAUAAAUAAAUUUUGUUGAAUGAUCUUUUCAUGGUGAAGACAUUCAGAUUUGAUUUACUUAAUCCUAAAAAGAUUUCUUAGGAUUAGUCUAACUGAAGUCUUUUAGGGUGUGAUACAGUGAAUUAUAAAAAAGAAACCAGUUCUUCAGAUAUUUGAGGGCUCGUGUUUAUACUUUCAAUUCGUCUGAAAUACAGUUAUUAACUUAUAUAGUCCUUCUGUGAUGUAGCUAUAGCUUUUAUUGAAAAGAAAAAUGUCAUACUGUUUUCUGACUCAAGGGGUUUUGAUACUAGAUUAAAUAUAGUUUAGUUUAGAUGAUGAAGUUGAAAAUGAGAAGAGUACAAUCCUGUUUGUAAAAAAAAGAGAACUACUCCAUAUGUCUAUCUGUAUGGAACAUAUAUUUGGGAGUUAUUAGCACAAGUUUACCACAAAUACCAAAUAACUGGGGACGCAGAUUUAAGGAUUUCUGGUCAGGGCAGGACUUAGAGCUCUAAAGAUUUCUAAAAGGGGAGAAGAAGACAAAACCUCAGACCAGGUGACCUGGCUUGGGUGGUUGGUUGGGUCGCACAGAAGAAAGCAAGUGUCCUCUGACUUAGGUGGCCUCUGCAUAUGAAGUCCAAACAAUAUGGGCAAUACAGCUGAGGUGUAGCACCGAGUCACAAAAUCAUUAACCUAGAGCUCUUUAAAUUCUCUCUGCUUUUAAGAUAGUAUUGGAUCCAGAGUCUGGGACAAGAUCAAACAUGCAGGUGAGCACGGUGGUCCCAGUUUCAAAGACUAUAGGAGUGUCAGGGCAUGAAGCCAAGCAGAUCCCAGAGAAGACAGAAGAACCUCAGGAGAGCAUCCUGGACUUACCGGGAGGUUUGGCUCAGAGGAACUAACUGCCCAAAACAGUGGUAAAUGCUAGUCAGAUUUUCUAUAAGGAGAGUUCAGGGACCUUGUUUUGAUUGUAAGGAUCUAGUAUCUUUAGAAAUGCAGUGUUGUUAUUUGAGCCUCAUGUGUGGGUUGCAUGCAUCCAUUCUUUUUUUAAUUAAUAGGUUCCAUUAUCAUGCUGCGGCAUGGCUUUGGUGUGAGAAUUUUCUCCACUCUCUAGGCCUGUGCUCUGUGCUGCUGAUUGCUCACGGGGAUGCAAGCUUGCACCUUACUAGAUUAUCAAACAACACGUGCACUUGUAUGUGGCCAGUCAGUGAGCACAGCAGAAUGGCUCUGAAUUCAUGUGAUCAUCACCCGCCAGGUAGGCAGGGCAAAGGACACACUAUUCUCUCUUAUGCCCAGUUCCACCAGGCCAGCUCUCUGAUGAUUUCAAAAUUAUAGUUUUGACACCCCAACACAGCGUCUCCCUCACUUUCCACCCUCACUUUCCAACUCUGAUGACAUAGGCUUAAUCUCGAUCUUUAGUUCUUUUCACAUCUCUACCUCCUAAUCCAUUAAUUUGCCUUUUGCCAUAUUCCACUGACUGUAUUCUGGUAACUUGUAAUGUUGCGCUGAGAUUAUUAUGGAAGUCUCCUAGCAGGCCCUGCUGCUGGCAGUGUCUCUCUUCCUGAAACCACUUCUAUUAGGACAAUUUCCUGCUUAAGGUCUACACUUCUUAUGGGUUCAAGCAGUUGCACCUUGUCGUCUAGAUUUCUCACUGAUGAACCCCACCUAGUGUUCUUCAAUGAACUGCCUUUCUUCAGUGAACCGUCUAGCUUGUUUUGUUUCCAUGCUCUUGCCGUCAUGAUUCCUGCACUGGAAUAAAGCCUUUCCCUGACUCCAUGCCCCAUGGCCUGAGAUGGUUUCCCCCAUGCUCUGCCAUUCUAAUCCUCCCUGUAGGCAAAGCCCAGCCCAACACUCAUAUUCACCAAGCAGUUUUUCCAGUCAAACUCUAGUCCAGAGUGACUUCCUCCUUACACCAAACUUCCAUUUCAUCAUAAAUAACAAGCAUUGUCACAGAGCUUCUCCAAUUUGAAAAAAAACACUUUCAUAGACAAUCUAUGCUACUAUAUAGUGUAGUCUCUUAAGUUAGUAUCCAUUAAGCCUAUUUUCUUAGCUAGUGGCCAAGCUUUUUAAUUUUAAUUAUUAAUUUUAUUUUAAUUGGAAAGAUUUCUCAUUCUACACUUUGGGUUGAGAUUAGUGGUUAGUGUAGGACUAAGCACAGAUUAGUUUUCUAUUUAAUGUUUCAAGGAAAGUGUAUUCUUCAGCAGGAGACAAGAGAUUCAAUUGGCGAGAGAAAUGAGACUAUAACAGGUUUAUGUAAGGACAGGAGUAAACUGAGCUAAAUGACUAUACUUGGAUCAAACUACUAAACCUCAGAAAAAAUAUAAAUUGUAUUAAAUCAACAGUGACAAAAUAUAU